rnacentral:rRNA from 1 species
GGGGAAUCUUCCGCAAUGGACGAAAGUCUGACGGAGCAACGCCGCGUGAGUGAUGACGGCCUUCGGGUUGUAAAGCUCUGUUAAUCGGGACGAAUGGCUACCACGCGAAUAGUUUGGGAGUUUGACGGUACCGGAAUAGAAAGCCACGGCUAACUACGUGCCAGCAGCCGCGGUAAUACGUAGGUGGCAAGCGUUGUCCGGAAUUAUUGGGCGUAAAGCGCGCGCAGGCGGAUCUGCCAGUCUGUCUUAAAAGUUCGGGGCUCAACCCCGUGAUGGGAUGGAAACUACAGAUCUAGAGUAUCGGAGGGGAAAGUGGAAUUCCUAGUGUAGCGGUGAAAUGCGUAGAUAUUAGGAGGAACACCAGUGGCGAAGGCGACUUUCUGGACGAUCACUGACGCUGAGGCGCGAAAGCCAGGGGAGCGAACGGGAUUAGAUACCCCGGUAGUCCUGGCCGUAAACGAUGGGUACUAGGUGUAGGAGGUAUCGACCCCUUCUGUGCCGUAGUUAACGCAGUAAGUACCCCGCCUGGGGAGUACGGCCGCAAGGUUG